AACUCUCAACGAUGGAUGCCUCGGCUCGAGAAUCGAUGAAGGACGCAGCGAGGUGCGAUAAGCACUGCGAUUUGCAGAAUUCCGUGAACCAGUAGAAAUCUCAACGCAUACUGCACAAAGGGGAUUUAUCCUCUUUGUACAUACGUAUCAGUGUCGCUC
rnacentral:rRNA from 1 species